rnacentral:misc_RNA from 1 species
UACGGAGGGUGCAAGCGUUGUUCGGAAUCAUUGGGCGUAAAGCGCGCGCAGGCGGCCUAUCAAGUCCGAUGUGAAAUCCCGAGGCUCAACCUCGGAGUGGCAUUGGAAACUGGUGGGCUUGAGUCCGAGAGGGGCCAGUGGAAUUCUUGGUGUAGGGGUGAAAUCCGUAGAGAUCAGGAGGAACACCGGUGGCGAAGGCGACUGGCUGGAUCGGUACUGACGCUGAGGCGCGAAAGCAUGGGGAGCAAACAGG